UACGGGGGGGGCAAGCGUUUGUUCGGAAUUACUGGGCGUAAAGCGUGCGCAGGCGGUUAUGUAAGACAGUUGUGAAAUCCCCGGGCUCAACCUGGGAAUUGCAUCUGUGACUGCAUAGCUAGAGUACGGUAGAGGGGGAUGGAAUUCCGCGUGUAGCAGUGAAAUGCGUAGAUAUGCGGAGGAACACCGAUGGCGAAGGCAAUCCCCCUGGACCUGUACUGACGCUCAUGCACGAAAGCGUGGGGAGCAAACAGG
rnacentral:rRNA from 1 species